GGUGAGUAAUGUCUGGGAAACUGCCUGAUGGAGGGGGAUAACUACUGGAAACGGUAGCUAAUACCGCAUAACGUCGCAAGACCAAAGAGGGGGACCUUCGGGCCUCUUGCCAUCGGAUGUGCCCAGAUGGGAUUAGCUAGUAGGUGGGGUAACGGCUCACCUAGGCGACGAUCCCUAGCUGGUCUGAGAGGAUGACCAGCCACACUGGAACUGAGACACGGUCCAGACUCCUACGGGAGGCAGCAGUGGGGAAUAUUGCACAAUGGGCGCAAGCCUGAUGCAGCCAUGCCGCGUGUAUGAAGAAGGCCUUCGGGUUGUAAAGUACUUUCAGCGGGGAGGAAGGGAGUAAAGUUAAUACCUUUGCUCAUUGACGUUACCCGCAGAAGAAGCACCGGCUAACUCCGUGCCAGCAGCCGCGGUAAUACGGAGGGUGCAAGCGUUAAUCGGAAUUACUGGGCGUAAAGCGCACGCAGGCGGUUUGUUAAGUCAGA
rnacentral:rRNA from 2 species